CCUACGGGUGGCUGCAGUCGAGAAUCAUUCACAAUGGGGGAAACCCUGAUGCUGCGACGCCGCGUGGGGGAAUGAAGGUCUUCGGAUUGUAAACCCUUGUCAUGUGGGAGCACAUUAAAAAGAUAGCACCACAAGAGGAACAGACGGCUAACUCUGUGCCAGCAGCCGCGGUAAUACAGAGGUCUCAAGCGUUGUUCGGAAUCACUGGGCGUGAAGCGUGCGUAGGCGGGUUCGUAAGUCGGGUGUGAAAGGCGGGGGCUCAACCCGCGGACUGCAAAUGAUACUGCGUGUCUAGAGUAAUGGAGGGGGAGCCGGAAUUCCCGGUGUAGCAGUGAAAUGCGUAGAUAUAGAGAGGAACACUCGUGGCGAAGGCGGGUUGCUGGACAUUAACUGACGGUGAGGCACGAAGGCCAGGGGAGCGAAAGGGAUUAGAUACCCUAGUAGUC
rnacentral:rRNA from 1 species